UUAAGGUACCAGAAAACUAGGUAUAGCCCUAUAAUCUCACAUGUUUUUUUACACCAACACUUUUAAAUAAUAGCUUUAUCUUUAAGAGAAAACAUCUUAUAAAUCCAGAUCUCCUCCUCUCUUCCACACCCAUAACCUUUUGUCUGUUCUCUUAUAUUUCCAAAAGUUGAAGUGAACAAAAAAAAAAAAAAGAAAAAAAAAAAAGGAAACCCAAAAUGCAAGAGCAAAUUGCAAUUAUAGUAGGAGCUGGCCCUUCUGGUCUGGCAACUUCUGCAUGCCUAAACCUGUAUUCAAUCCCUCAUAUCAUUCUUGAAAGAGAAGAUUGCUGUGCUUCUCUUUGGAAGAAAUAUUCAUACGAUCGUCUCCAUCUCCACCUAAAGAAACAAUUCAGCGAGUUACCUCACAUGUCUUUCCCUUCUUCUUGCCCUACUUAUAUCUCAAAAGAUCAGUUUAUUCAAUACUUGGAUGGCUACGUUUCUCAUUUCAAGAUUUCUCCUUUGUACCAAAGAUGUGUUGAGUUAGCAACAUACGAUCAAGAAACCAAGAAAUGGAUUCUUAAGGUCAGGAAUGUGAAUUCUGGUGAUGUUGAAGAUUACUCUGCUAGGUUUUUGAUCGUGGCUAGCGGAGAAACUUGCGAUCCUUUUAUACCAGAUGUUGAAGGACUGAAUAGUUUCAGUGGCGAUGCUCUUCACUCUACCCAGUUCAAAAACGGCAAGGCUUAUAGAAACAAGAAUGUUCUGGUUGUUGGUUCUGGUAAUUCUGGUAUGGAGAUCGCAUUAGACCUUGUAAAUCAUGGUUCCAAAACUUCCAUCGUCGUUCGUAGCCCGGUUCACAUUCUUUCUAGGGAGAUGGUGUACUUGGCUUUGGCUAUGUUGAAGUAUUUUCCAUUAGGUUUGGUGGACUCAUUGCUGGUGUUGCUUAGCAAGGUUGUAUUCGGAGACUUGACCAAGUAUGGAAUGAGUAGGGCAACAGAGGGACCCUUUUUUAUGAAAGUGGCUUACGGCAAGUAUCCUAUUAUCGACGUGGGUACUUUCAAUAAGAUCAAGUCCGGGGAAAUUCAGGUCUUGCCUGCAGUUGAAAGUAUAAGAGGCAAUGAGGUAAUAUUUAAGAAUGGCAAGUCACACGCAUUUGACAAAGUCAUUUUUUGUACUGGCUUCAAGAGAUCGACAAAUAAAUGGCUGAAGGGGGAUGAUUACCUUUUGAAUGAAGAUGGAAUGUCAAAGCCAAGUUACCCAAAUCAUUGGAAGGGAAAGAAUGGCCUCUACUGCAUUGGACUGGCAAGGAGAGGGAUAUAUGGAGCUAGUGCAGAUGCACAAAACACAGCCGACGACAUCAAGUCACUUCUGUAGUUGCAUAAAGAGUGUUCAAUUUUAGCAAGAUUUGCCUUAAAUAAGUGUAGAGGCAUGCGGUCUUGCACUGGAGUUUCAUCGUUAACCCCUUGUCUAGCGCUCCGCAGCCAAUGAGAAAGUUUUCAAGCAGACAAGUGAGAUCCUUUUGAAGAGAAAGGUCGGAGUUUUUCAAGUCAAUUCCAGUUCAGCUACUCUUCUUUAAUAAAUGCAAUUGGUUUUCUUUACCUCGGAACCCCCAAAGAAUUGCAAAUGCAGGCAGUUAAAACAUCAGCAUCAUAACAAGGAAAGAAAUAUCUCUUAAAUGUGACA